GUGUGAAAUGAGGGAAGGUUAGUGCUCCUCUUGGUAAGGAUGGAAGAGGUCCCCGUGGCCAGUGCAAUGACACAUAUGGUUCAGGCUUUUUUCCUUUAAUAUCCCCUGUAAAAUUU